rnacentral:rRNA from 1 species
UAAAGGGUGUGUAGGCGGGUAUUUAAGUCAGUGGUGAAAUCUCCGAGCUCAACUCGGAAACUGCCAUUGAUACUAUUUAUCUUGAAUAUUGUUGAGGUAGGCGGAAUAUGUCAUGUAGCGGUGAAAUGCUUAGAUAUGACAUAGAACACCGAUUGCGAAGGCAGCUUGCUAAACAAUUAUUGACGCUGAGGCACGAAAGCGUGGGGAUCAAACAGGAUUAGAUACCCUGU